rnacentral:rRNA from 1 species
UGUCGUCAGCUCGUGUUGUGAAAUGUUGGGUUAAGUCCCGCAACGAGCGCAACCCUUAUCCUUUGUUGCCAGCGGUCCGGCCGGGAACUCAAAGGAGACUGCCAGUGAUAAACUGGAGGAAGGUGGGGAUGACGUCAAGUCAUCAUGGCCCUUACGACCAGGGCUACACACGUGCUACAAUGGCGCAUACAAAGAGAAGCGACCUCGCGAGAGCAAGCGGACCUCAUAAAGUGCGUCGUAGUCCGGAUUGGAGUCUGCAACUCGACUCCAUGAAGUCGGAAUCGCUAGUAAUCGUGGAUCAGAAUGCCACGGUGAAUACGUUCCCGGGCCUUGUACACACCGCCCGUCACACCAUGGGAGUGGGUUGCAAAAGAAGUAGGUAGCUUAACCUUCGGGAGGGCGCUUACCACUUUGUGAUUCAUGACUGGGGUGAAGUCGUAACAAGGUAACCGUAGGGGAACCUGCGGU